CACCACCUCUCGUCACCACCUCCACCCUUCGAACCAUAACACAAUUCCGACCCAAACCUCACCAAAAUCCCGGCCAUGCACCACCGUCCUCCUUCGCACGCGACAACCCAAAACUGCGAGUCACUGUUCCUCGACCCUCAUCGAUUUUCCGACGAUUUCCUCGCCCUCCGCCACUGUCAUUCUACUCAGCAAGCAAAGGGGAGUAAAACCCAGGGAGCCCUCUUCAUCUCCGACGCCGGGAAACGCCGUACGAGCUCGCCGAAACUCGUAGCUAGCUCUGCAUGCCUUCGUUCCCCAACCUCCAGUCCAAAUCGAGCUAAACUACCUCCUUCGAUGUAAUCAGCGCCUCACUACCCACUUGUUUCUGAGACGCCGACCUCCGAUUCCGACCAGGGCCACCGCACGCGUUACACGCGCCGCCGCUGGCGCGUAGACCGCCAUAGCUCCGCCGUGUAUACCGCCGAUUUAAUCCCUUGUCCUGGUAAGACGUUCUCUAGCCCUGUUCGUUGGAUAUUUGAAUUCAAAUUCAUAGAGAAGUCGGUUUUCUAACCUUGGGUUUUCUGGGCUUGAGGAAAUAAUGGAAUUCAGAUCGGAGAGUGAAGCAUUCUGGUCUUGGCUUUGAUUUAUGUUCGUGAUGGGAGGAUGAAGAACCGAGAAAGACUGCAAGAAGCAGCACAUUAUGGAGAUUAUGGUCUCGGCAGAACUGAAAAUGGAUUUUGGAAAUCCUGAGAUUUGGAAUCUGAGAGUUUGAAGAUUUGGAGAAGAAGAACUGUUGGGUCAGUUUCCAUUGAAAAUGGAUUGAGGUAAGGGUCAUGAACUCUGUGUUGGAUAUGAAUUUGGUUAAGAAUUGGAUUAUUAAACUUGUCCUGCUGCCAGGAAUUCGAGUGACUGUUGGUGGAAUUGCAGCUGCGACGAAACUGGUUUCUGUUUUGGAAAAGAAGAAUGGUAAGGGGACUGUGCAUUUUGGGAUCUAAAUGGUUGUGUGCUGUUUGUAUUGAUAGAAGUUAUGGCAUUACUAAGUAAACAAAACGAGAUAUGGUUAUGCUGCUUGUGUAUUAAAUGUUAUGUUGGAAACUUGGCAUGAAUCGGCUUAUUGAAUAGAGGAGAAUUGUCUUGAGAAUUAAAAGGAUGAA